UGAACCUGCGGAAGGAUCAGU
rnacentral:rRNA from 1 species